AUUCUCUUCAUGUAUAAUGUAUUGUGGUAAGAUUCAAACAAAAUUAACUUACUUUACAGUAAGGAAAAAUUAGAUUUUUAAUUCCAAAUUUACAGUAAAAACAUAACAUUUUAUAAAACUAAACAAUUGACAUAAUAGUAUAAAAAUAUGGAAAAAAAAAUUAAAAUACUAUCCGCGCGUAGCGCGGACAAGAACCUAGUAUAAAUAAAAGGAACUAAUUUGGAAGCUCCUAAGCUGGUAGGAUAAAAAAAUUCGUAGCCAAUCAUUUUGACAUGAAAAUACCGUUUAUGCUUCGUUAACAAAACAAACACUGAAACGAUUCUGCGUCACCACACUAAUUGCAGCCAUUAUUCCCAUCUCCAAAAAAUAAAAGAAACAACCUAACGAUUCUCUCUUUGUCUUGAGUCAUUCCUUUUUUGUUAUCGAGUCACACACCUUUUUGUCUGUUUUCUUUUUGCUUUAUCUGCCGGGUUUAGCUUGUGAGCAUAAUGAGUUUGCACCUGGUGAUGUCGUAGAGUAUGCGAUUCCGAAGAACUGGUUGGUUUAGGAUUUCAUCAUCCUGAAAUACAUACACAUCCAGAGUUGUAAGUUGUAAUUACAAAGACGCUUGAUGCAGAGCCUUACGUAGCCAGGGUUAAGCAUGUGCUCAUGGUUGACAGUGUUCAGGAAAUUGCUGUUUAUGUCCAUAGGUUCCAUAACCUUGAUCUUUUCCAGCAAGGGUAUCAUUAUGUGCUUUGAGUGUAUAUAUUGGAGCAAUUUUUCUAUUAUGUGUAUAAAUUUUCGAUUCUAUUACUCUCUUUGAUGGUAUCAAGUAAAAAUCCGCUCGAGAUGGGAGGAUACUGAUAACAACAACUCCUCUGGGAUUCCUUCACGAGUUGUUCAGUAUGAAGGUACUCCUCUCAAUCCCUUUUUUUGAAUUAUUAUCUUUUGUAAUAUUCCUCAUGUUUAUGUAUUUGGAGAGUAUCUAUCUUUCUUUCUUUCUUUCUUCCUUUCUUUCCUUCUUUCUUUCUUUUUGCAUAAGUAUCAACAUACCUUUGUAUCACAGCUCUUAAUCCAAACUCAAACGAAUCAUCCUGGAGUGUGGAAGGUAGAUGAUAAAGUUAAUAGUUUCUUAACACAGCCCUUCCGGAUUAAAUAUGCUAUACAGGAUGUUCGUCUAUGCAUGAUGGUCUCUUUUACUAUGCCAUUGGAACCAACACAUGGGAUGAUGGAACAGAUUUGAGCUCUGUGUGUACACAAGCGUGUGAUCGACCUCUUCAGCUCUUCGAAUGUAGUGAAGCAACAUUAAGCCUGGUGUGUGGAUGAGGUUAACUUCGUUGAUUCUUAGAGCAUAAGGUUUAGUUUAGAAUUUAUUUUUGAAUUCCAACGAUUUUGUCUUUUCUUUUUGUUACAAAGUUCAUACUUCACUUCCUAAAUCAAUAAGUGGGUAGAAAAUCCUUAUGCAAAAUACGUAAAAACAAUUAUGUAA